rnacentral:rRNA from 1 species
UACGUAGGGUGCGAGCGUUGUCCGGAAUUAUUGGGCGUAAAGAGCUCGUAGGCGGUUUGUCGCGUCGACUGUGAAAACCUACAGCUUAACUGUGGGCUUGCAGUCGAUACGGGCAGACUUGAGUUCGGUAGGGGAGACUGGAAUUCCUGGUGUAGCGGUGAAAUGCGCAGAUAUCAGGAGGAACACCGGUGGCGAAGGCGGUUCUCUGGGCAUGUCCUGACGCUGAGGAGCGAAAGUGUGGGGAGCGAACAGG